rnacentral:rRNA from 1 species
GGACCCGCACAAGCAGCGGAGCAUGUGGUUUAAUUCGAAGCAACGCGAAAAACCUUACCAAGACUUGACAUAUAUGUGACCACUAUAGAGAUAUAGUUUUCCUUCGGGACACUUAUACAGGUGGUGCAUGGUUGUCGUCAGCUCGUGUCGUGAGAUGUUGGGUUAAGUCCCGCAACGAGCGCAACCCCUAUGAUUAAUUGCCAAUAUUAAGUUAGGAACUUUAGUCAGACUGCCGUGGAUAACACGGAGGAAGGCGGGGAUGACGUCAAAUCAUCAUGCCCCUUACGUCUUGGGCUACACACGUGCUACAAUGGCUAUUACAAAGAGCAGCGAAACGGUAACGUCAAGCGAAUCUCAUAAAGAUAGUCUCAGUUCGGAUUGUGGGCUGCAACCCGCCCACAUGAAGUCGGAGUUGCUAGUAAUCCCGAAUCAGCAUGUCGGGGUGAAUGCGUUCCCGGGUCUU